rnacentral:piRNA from 1 species
UAGGUCUUUUGGUUAGUUCUCCUAACUAU